AGACCCACAGUCACCUGCCUCAGGUAGAGAAUCUCAGUGCCUUUGCAAAGUAUUUUCCUUGUUGUUACUCAGGAGAUCACAAACACUCAUUAAGAAGGCAGCUUGUUGUGGGCUCACCACAGAUUCAAGUUUAUCAUGUUGGACACAGCCCUAGUCCCACGUUGGGCUCAAGGCAAGGCAAGGAUUUUUCAAGCUACGCAAGGAUGAAGCAAGGAUGAAGCACAGUCUACUGGAAGGAGCAAAGGACUGGGAGCCCAGGCUGGCCUGCAGUGUGGACAGAAGCCACUGCAAUUGAUAUAACAUCGGGAGGGUUGUGGCCAUCUGAUGCAUGGAUGCCCUAUCCCGGAGCAGCCAAGAACUGGAGAGAAGGUCACCGCUAUGGCCACAGCUGUGACUCUGUGACAGUUGGUUUGAGCAGCUGCUCCUUUUACUCUCUUGUCACCCUUGUCUUUUGUCUUAUUUCUUCCUUCAUGUGUGUUUCAACAACCUCCCCCAAUCCCUCCUCCCUGUCAUUUUUGAAUUGUGAGCCCCUUUAGGAGUCAGGGCCAGGUCUAUAUGAAUACAGUACUUUGAACACAG